rnacentral:tRNA from 1 species
UUGGUAGUUCAGUUGGUUAGAAUGCCUGCCUGUCACGCAGGAGGUCGCGGGUUCGAGUCCCGUCCAGACCG